UACGUAGGGGGCAAGCGUUGUCCGGAUUUAUUGGGCGUAAAGAGCGUGUAGGCGGCCAGACAGGUCCGUUGUGAAAACUCGGGGCUCAACUCCGAGCUUGCAGUCGAUACGGGCAGGCUAGAGUUCGGUAGGGGAGACUGGAAUUCCUGGUGUAGCGGUGAAAUGCGCAGAUAUCAGGAGGAACACCGAUGGCGAAGGCAGGUCUCUGGGCCGAUACUGACGCUGAGGAGCGAAAGCGUGGGGAGCGAACAGG
rnacentral:rRNA from 1 species